rnacentral:lncRNA from 1 species
AUGGCUGACAACUCUCAGAAGAUGAGCUACCACGCUGGAGAGGCCAAGGGCCAAGCUCAGGUAAUUAGCUCACCUAUUAUUCUCCAUUUGUUUUUGCUUAUUUAUUCUGUUUCCAUUAAAUAUAUUAUAUUUAUAUGUGAAUGUGCAUUGAGAUUGAUGUGGGGUGUUUUGUAUUGGAUAAUUUUGGAUUUAACAGGAGAAGGCCAGUGGGAUGAUGGAUAUGGCUAACAAUGCAGCCCAAUCUACCAAGGAGACAAUGCAAGAUGCUGGUCAGAAUGUGCAGGCCAAGGCUCAGGGAGCUGCUGAUGCAGUCAAGAAUGCCACUGGCAUGAACAAAUGA